AUACAGAGGGUGCGAGCGUUAAUCGGAAUUACUGGGCGUAAAGCGCGCGUAGGCGGCUACUUAAGUCAGAUGUGAAAUCCCCGGGCUCAACCUGGGAACUGCAUCUGAUACUGGGUAGCUAGAGUUUUGGAGAGGGAAGUAGAAUUUCAGGUGUAGCGGUGAAAUGCAUAGAGAUCUGAAGGAAUACCAGUGGCGAAGGCGACUUCCUGGCCAAAAACUGACGCUGAGGUGCGAAAGCGUGGGGAGCAAACGGGAUUAGAAACCCCAGUAGUCC
rnacentral:rRNA from 1 species